AACGCUAGCUACAGGCUUAACACAUGCAAGUCGAGGGGAAACGACAUCGAAAGCUUGCUUUUGAUGGGCGUCGACCGGCGCACGGGUGAGUAACGCGUAUCCAACCUGCCCACCACUUGGGGAUAACCUUGCGAAAGUAAGACUAAUACCCAAUGACGUCUCUAGAAGACAUCUGAAAGAGAUUAAAGAUUUAUCGGUGAUGGAUGGGGAUGCGUCUGAUUAGCUUGUUGGCGGGGUAACGGCCCACCAAGGCAACGAUCAGUAGGGGUUCUGAGAGGAAGGUCCCCCACAUUGGAACUGAGACACGGUCCAAACUCCUACGGGAGGCAGCAGUGAGGAAUAUUGGUCAAUGGGCGAGAGCCUGAACCAGCCAAGUAGCGUGCAGGAUGACGGCCCUAUGGGUUGUAAACUGCUUUUAUAAGGGAAUAAAGUGAGUCUCGUGAGACUUUUUGCAUGUACCUUAUGAAUAAGGACCGGCUAAUUCCGUGCCAGCAGCCGCGGUAAUACGGAAGGUCCGGGCGUUAUCCGGAUUUAUUGGGUUUAAAGGGAGCGUAGGCCGGAGAUUAAGCGUGUUGUGAAAUGUAGACGCUCAACGUCUGCACUGCAGCGCGAACUGGUUUCCUUGAGUACGCACAAAGUGGGCGGAAUUCGUGGUGUAGCGGUGAAAUGCUUAGAUAUCACGAAGAACUCCGAUUG
rnacentral:rRNA from 1 species